rnacentral:rRNA from 1 species
UACGUAGGGACCAAGCGUUGUUCGGAUUUACUGGGCGUAAAGAGCGCGCAGGCGGUAUGACAAGUCAGAUGUGAAAGAGGCCGGCUUAACCGGCAAGGGUCAUUUGAAACUGUCAGACUAGAGUGCAGCAGAGGAUAGUGGAAUUCCCGGUGUAGUGGUAGAAAUGCGUAGAUAGUCGGGAGGAACACCAGUGGCGAAGGCGACUUCCUGGCCUGUUCUUGACGCUGAGGCGCGAAAGCUAGGGGAGCAAACGGGG